AUAGCAUAUCAAUAAGCGGAGGAAAAGAAACCAACAGGGAUUGCCCUAGUAACGGCGAGUGAAGCGGCAACAGCUCAAAUUUGAAAUCUGGCUCUUUUAGAGUCCGAGUUGUAAUUUGCAGAGGGCGCUUUGGCUUUGGCAGCGGUCCAAGUUCCUUGGAACAGGACGUCACAGAGGGUGAGAAUCCCGUACGUGGUCGCUGGCUAUUGCCGUGUAAAGCCCCUUCGACGAGUCGAGUUGUUUGGGAAUGCAGCUCUAAAUGGGAGGUACAUUUCUUCUAAAGCUAAAUAUUGGCCAGAGACCGAUAGCGCACAAGUAGAGUGAUCGAAAGAUGAAAAGCACUUUGGAAAGAGAGUCAAACAGCACGUGAAAUUGUUGAAAGGGAAGCGCUUGCAGCCAGACUUGCUUACAGUUGCUCAUCCGGGUUUCUACCCGGUGCACUCUUCUGUAGGCAGGCCAGCAUCAGUUUGGGCGGUAGGAUAAAGGUCUCUGUCACGUACCUCCUUUCGGGGAGGCCUUAUAGGGGAGACGACAUACUACCAGCCUGGACUGAGGUCCGCGCAUCUGCUAGGAUGCUGGCGUAAUGGCUGUAAGCGGCCCGUCUUGAAACACGGACCAAGGAGUCUAACAUCUAUGCGAGUGUUUGGGUGUCAAGCCCGAGCGCGUAAUGAAAGUGAACGGAGGUGGGAACCCGCAAGGGUGCACCAUCGACCGAUCCUGAUGUCUUCGGAAGGAUUUGAGUAAGAGCAUGGCUGUUGGGACCCGAAAGAUGGUGAACUAUGCUUGAAUAGGGUGAAGCCAGAGGAAACUCUGGUGGAGGCUCGCAGCGGUUCUGACGUGCAAAUCGAUCGUCAAAUUUGGGCAUAGGGGCGAAAGACUAAUCGAACUAUCUAGUAGCUGGUCCUGCGAGU
rnacentral:rRNA from 1 species